rnacentral:rRNA from 1 species
CCCUUAGAUGUUCUGGGCCGCACGCGUGCUACACUGAGUGGAUCAGCGGGUCAGGUUGCGCGAAAGUGUUUCCUAAUCUUGAAAUCCGCUCGUGAUGGGGAUUGACGGUUGCAAUUUUCCGUCAUGAACGAGGAAUACCUUGUAAGCGCGGGUCAUCAUCCCGCGCUGAAUACGUCCCUGCCCUUUGUACACACCGCCCGUCGCUCCUACCGAUUGAGUGGUCCGGUGAGGCUUUGGGAUCUGAGCAAAGAGAGCGUUUCGCUCGUUUUGCCCGGAAAACUCAGUCGAACCUUAUCAUUUAGAGGAAGGAGAAGUUGUAACA